rnacentral:rRNA from 1 species
GACGAACGCUGGCGGCGUGCUUAACACAUGCAAGUCGAACGAAGUGGCGAACGGGUGAGUAACGCGUAAUCAACCUGCCCUUCAGAGGGGCACAACAGUUGGAAACGACUGCUAAUACCGCAUACUGAAGGAGGGGAUUGCGUCUGAUUAGCUAGUUGGAGGGGUAACGGCCCACCAAGGCGCUGAGCAGUAGUCGGUCCGAGAGGAUGAACGGCCAAAUUGGGACUGUGGCACGACCCAGACUCCUACGGUGGGCAUCAGUUGGGAAUCUUCCGCAAUGGACGAAAGGCUGACGGAGCAACGCCGCGGGAGUGAUGACGGCCUUCGGGUUGGAAAGCUCUGUUAAUCGGGACGCGGUACCGGAAUAGAAAGCCACGGCUAACUACGUGCCAGCCGCCGCGGUAAUUC